UACAGAGGGUGCGAGCGUUGUCCGGAAUCACUGGGCGUAAAGGGCGCGUAGGCGGCCUGAUAAGUAGGGGGUGAAAUCCUGCGGCUUAACCGCAGGGCUGCCUUCUAAACUGUCGGGCUCGAGCACAGUAGAGGCAGGUGGAAUUCCCGGUGUAGCGGUGGAAUGCGUAGAGAUCGGAAGGAACAUCAGUGGCGAAGGCGGCUUACUGGACUGAUACUGACACUGAGGCACGAGAGCGUGGGGAGCAAACAGG
rnacentral:rRNA from 1 species